UUGCUAUGAAACUCAUAAUUAAGGGGAUAAGUAUGUUAUUUCUGAAUUUUGCCCAAUUAAAAUUGGGUUCUUAAUUGGCCCAUUAACAAAUCUGCCCAUUUUGGGGCUAUGAAUUAUGGACUUUGGGUCCAUUUUCUGAACAGUAUACCAUCUGUAUACCAGUCCAAUUUUUCUGCGUUUUUCAUGUAUAUACACUGUAUAUCAGCAUGUAAAACUCAUAUGCUUGUUAUUUCUGAAUUUUGCCCAAUUAAAAUUGGGUCCUUAAUUGGCCCAUUAACAAAGCUGCCCAUUUUGGGGGCUAUGAAUUAUGAACUUUGGGUCCAUUUUCUGAACUGUAUACCAUCUGUAUACCAGUCCGAUUUUUCUGCGUUUUUCAUGUAUAUACGCUGUAUAUCAGCAUAUAAACCUUGUAUGCUUGUGCCCAGCUUUAUAACACAUUAUAUAUUGGCUUAGUCUGGCCGCCUUUGACCUGUAAAUCUCGUAUAUACGGCGUAUAUCAGUGUAUAUCAGCCUUUGGAGAUGGAGAUUUUUGACUCGAGUAAGGAUGGUUUUGGUGCCGAGGAAAUGCAAGGGCGAUGGAGUCCAGUUGGACUCGCCAAGAAGCAAAUAAACAAGAGAGAAAAACAAAAAUU
rnacentral:lncRNA from 1 species